GCAUAUCAAUAAGCGGAGGAAAAGAAACCAACAGGGAUUGCCUCAGUAACGGCGAGUGAAGCGGCAACAGCUCAAAUUUGAAAUCUGGUCCCCUCUGGGGGCCCGAGUUGUAAUUUGAAGAGGAUGCUUUUGGCGAGGCGCCUUCCGAGUGCCCUGGAACGGGACGCCACAGAGGGUGAGAGCCCCGUAUGGUAGGACGCCGAGCCUCUGUAAAGCUCCUUCGACGAGUCGAGUAGUUUGGGAAUGCUGCUCAAAAUGGGAGGUAAACCCCUUCUAAAGCUAAAUAUUGGCCAGAGACCGAUAGCGCACAAGUAGAGUGAUCGAAAGAUGAAAAGCACUUUGAAAAGAGAGUUAAACAGCACGUGAAAUUGUUGAAAGGGAAGCGCUUGCGACCAGACUUGCGCCCGUCGGAUCAACCGUCCCUCGUGGGCGGCGCACUCCGGCGGGCUCAGGCCAGCAUCAGUUUUCCUGGGGGUAGAAAGGCGGUGGGAAUGUAGCUCUUCGGAGUGUUAUAGCCCGCCGUGUAAUGCCCUCGGGGGGACUGAGGACCGCGCGUAUGCAAGGAUGCUGGCGUAAUGGUCGUCAGCGACCCGUCUUGAAACACGGACCAAGGAGUCGUCCUAAUAUGCGAGUGUACGGGUGUAAAACCCCUGCGCGUAAUGAAAGUGAACGGAGGUGAGAGCUUCGGCGCAUCAUCGACCGAUCCUGAUGUUCUCGGAUGGAUUUGAGUAAGAGCAUAUUGGGCCGGACCCGAAAGAAGGUGAACUAUGCCUGUAUAGGGUGAAGCCAGAGGAAACUCUGGUGGAGGCUCGCAGCGGUUCUGACGUGCAAAUCGAUCGUCAAAUAUGGGCAUGGGGGCGAAAGACUAAUCGAACCUUCUAGUAGCUGGUUUCCGCCG
rnacentral:rRNA from 1 species